UGCCAUUCUUGCAAACAUCAAUGAAGGCAUUAAUUUCGCCCAAUUGAGUGACCUUUUUUAUCUGAGGGAGUAUAUCGUAUAAUUUUCUGAAUCAUGUUAGGCCUGCUAUAUUUGUGUUCAUAGGAGCGGCCCAAGAAUAAUUUAAAUCAUGUUCUCAGUAUUAUUGUGAUUAUUGCUGAUAUAUCUGUUUAUUGUACUUUCUAUUCCUAGCUUCUUCCUUGUGAUUCCUUCAACAUGGUGCUUUAAUAUGCGAUGCAAUGCUUAUCCAGGCAAUUUGUUUUCAUCUUGCAUAUGACAACGCAGCUACUUAGUGGUGUGAUUAGUAGGUACUGAGAAAAAGGGCAGGAUGGUGUAAGUUGAUUGUCUUUUCCCAGAAUUACUAUGUCAUUUUUACAUUGUCAGUUUUUUUUUUCAAUUUUCCAAUAACCGAGAAUCGUAUUAAUCCCAUUUCUUCCAUUCUUUGCAAGCAAUAGGGUUUUCAUCUCUUUUUUUAAAUGUAUCGACAGUUUGAUCAAACAAAGCUAAAAGUCGAAAAAGGAUCUAUAUAGUGAACUCCAACUAGUUUGAGAUUAAG
rnacentral:misc_RNA from 1 species